UGCAGUCGAACGGCAGCACGGGUGCUUGCACCUGGUGGCGAGUGGCGAACGGGUGAGUAAUAUAUCGGAACGUACCUUAUCGUGGGGGAUAACGCAGCGAAAGCUGCGCUAAUACCGCAUACGCCCUAAGGGGGAAAGCGGGGGACCGUAAGGCCUCGCGCGAUUAGAGCGGCCGAUAUCUGAUUAGCUUGUUGGUGGGGUAAAAGCCCACCAAGGCGACGAUCAGUAGCUGGUCUGAGAGGACGAUCAGCCACACUGGGACUGAGACACGGCCCAGACUCCUACGGGAGGCAGCAGUGGGGAAUUUUGGACAAUGGGGGCAACCCUGAUCCAGCAAUGCCGCGUGAGUGAAGAAGGCCUUCGGGUUGUAAAGCUCUUUUGUCAGGGAAGAAACAGCAGCUCUAACACAGUCUGCGAAUGACGGUACCUGAAGAAUAAGCACCGGCUAACUACGUGCCAGCAGCCGCGGUAAUACGUAGGGUGCAAGCGUUAAUCGGAAUUACUGGGCGUAAAGCGUGCGCAGGCGGUUAUACAAGACAGGCGUGAAAUCCCCGGGCUUAACCUGGGAAUGGCGUCUGUGACUGUAUGACUAGAGUGUGUCAGAGGGGGGUAGAAUUCCACGUGUAGCAGUGAAAUGCGUAGAUAUGUGGAGGAAUACCAAUGGCGAAGGCAGCCCCCUGGGAUAACACUGACGCUCAUGCACGAAAGCAUGGGGAGCAAACAGGAUUAGAUACCCUGGUAGUCCACGCCCUAAACGAUGCCGACUAGUUGUUGGGAAUUUACAUUCUCAGUAACGUAGCUAACGCGUGAAGUCGGCCGCCUGGGGAGUACGGUCGCAAGAUUAAAACUCAAAGGAAUUGACGGGGACCCGCACAAGCGGUGGAUGAUGUGGAUUAUUCGAUGNCACGCGAAAACCUUACCUACCCUUGACAUGUCACUAACGAAGUAGAGAUACAUUAGGUGCCCGUAAGGGAAAGUGAACACAGGUGCUGCAUGGCUGU
rnacentral:rRNA from 1 species